rnacentral:rRNA from 1 species
GAUGAACGCUAGCUACAGGCUUAACACAUGCAAGUCGAGGGGAAACGAUAUUGGAAGCUUGCUUCCGAUAGGCGUCGACCGGCGCACGGGUGAGUAACGCGUAUCCAACCUGCCCACCACUUGGGGAUAACCUUGCGAAAGUAAGACUAAUACCCAAUGACGUCCAUAGAAGACAUCUGAAAUGGAUUAAAGAUUUAUCGGUGAUGGAUGGGGAGGCGUCUGAUUAGCUUGUUGGCGGGGUAACGGCCCACCAAGGCGACGAUCAGUAGGGGUUCUGAGAGGAAGGUCCCCCACAUUGGAACUGAGACACGGUCCAAACUCCGACGGGAGGCAGCAGUGAGGAAUAUUGGUCAAUGGGCGAGAGCCUGAACCAGCCAAGUAGCGUGCAGGAUGACGGCCCUAUGGGUUGUAAACUGCUUUUAUAAGGGAAUAAAGUGAGUCUCGUGAGGCUUUUUGCAUGUACCUUAUGAAUAAGGACCGGCUAAUUCCGUGCCAGCCGCCGCAGUAA